GACCUCGGAUCAGGUGGGGAUACCCGCUGAACUUAAGCAUAUCAAUAAGCGGAGGAAAAGAAACCAACAGGGAUUGCCUUAGUAACGGCGAGUGAAGCGGCAAGAGCUCAAAUUUGAAAUCUGGUCCUUUCAGGGCCCGAGUUGUAAUUUGUAGAGGAUGCUUUGGAGUCGGCGCUGGUCUAAGUUCCUUGGAACAGGACGUCACAGAGGGUGAGAAUCCCGUACGUGGCCGGCAGUCUUCUCCGUGUAAAGCUCCUUCGACGAGUCGAGUUGUUUGGGAAUGCAGCUCUAAAUGGGAGGUAAAUUUCUUCUAAAGCUAAAUACUGGCCAGAGACCGAUAGCGCACAAGUAGAGUGAUCGAAAGAUGAAAAGCACUUUGGAAAGAGAGUUAAAAAGUACGUGAAAUUGUUGAAAGGGAAGCGCUUGCGACCAG
rnacentral:rRNA from 1 species